rnacentral:rRNA from 1 species
UGGGGAAUCUUGGACAAUGGGCGAAAGCCUGACGCAGCGACGCCGCGUGCGGGAAGAAGGCCCUAGGGUUGUAAACCGCUUUCAGUAGGGAAGAAAAUGACGGUACCUACAGAAGAAGGUGCGGCCAACUACGUG